rnacentral:ncRNA from 1 species
UAGAGGUUUGGUCCCGGCCUUCUUAUUGACUAUAAGUAGACUUAUACAUGCAAGUUUCAGCAUGCCAGUGAAAAUGCCCUUUAACUCUUUAACAGAUAAAAAGGUGCGGGUAUCAAGCCCACUAUCGUAGCUCAAGACACCUUGCUUAGCCACGCCCCUACGGGAUACAGCAGUAACGAAUAUUAAGCCAUGAACGAAAGUUUGACUUAGUUAUACUUCUCAGAGUUGGUCAAUUUCGUGCCAGCAACCGCGGUCAUACGAACAACUCAAGUUAAUAAGUUUCGGUGUAAAGUGUGAUUAGGAUGUUAACACAAUAGAAUUAAAACUUCUCUAUGCUGUAGAAAGCUAAAGAGAUUAUCUAAAUAAACUACGAAAGUGAUUCUACCGCUUCUGAACUCACGAUAGCUAAGAAACAAACUGGGAUUAGAUACCCCACUAUGCUUAGCCCUAAACCUUGAUAGUUAAUAACAAGACUAUCCACCAGAGAACUACUAGCCAGCGCUUAAAACUUAAAGGACUUGGCGGUACUUUAGACCCACCUAGAGGAGCCUGUUAUGUAAUCGAUAAACCCCGAUACACCCCACCAUCAUUUGCUAAAUCAGUCUAUAUACCGCCAUCUUCAGCGAACCCUGAAAAGGCAAAAUAGUAAGCCUAAUCAUCUCACACAUAAAAACGUUAGGUCAAGGUGUAACCCAUAUGAUGGGAUCUAAUGGGCUACAUUUUCUCUACCCAGAACACACGAAAGCCUUUAUGAAACUCAAAGGCUAAAGGAGGAUUUAGCAGUAAGCUAAGAAUAGAGUGCUUAGCUGAAACCGGACAUGAAGUACGCACACACCGCCCGUCACCCUCCUCAACCUCAACUAAAAUGCUUUAUACAUAAACUCAAGCAUUACCAGAAUUCAGAGGAGACAAGUCGUAACAAGGUAAGCAUACUGGAAAGUGUGCUUGGAAAACUUC